rnacentral:lncRNA from 1 species
UUGCAGGGAGACAAUAAACAGUUUGAUCUACCAGUGAAAAAGAAAAGUGACAUUUGUACAAUUAUGUAUACUAGUGGAACCACCGGCGACCCCAAGGGCGUCAUGAUUUCAAAUAAUAGUAUUGUUACGCUGGUAGCUGGAGUAAAGUGCCUUCUAGGGGGUGUGGAAGAAUCGGUAACUGUCAUAUAUUUACUUUCGGGACAUUGUCGUGGAUUAAGUUGAUGAAUAAGAUUUAGCCCCUCUUUGAGCCCCACUUUAUAAAAAUUCAUUUUCCCCAUACCUACUUUCAAGUUUCAACCAUGCACCCAAUUAAAUAAUUUUACAUGUAAACUCAAAUUUUUUUCUAUAGUUAACCACACAUUCUCCAACACAAUCAAUACUACAAAACCUAUUUUCCCCUUAAAACAGGGCUCAAUCAGAGGCUUAAAAUGUUUCUACCAAUUUCAGUCAAAACGUUGAAGCAGCAAUUAAUUGAUUAUUUCGAAUAAUUUGAGUAGGAUUUUCAACUUCUUACUAUUUUAUCUUUCAGUUGACUGUCAAUGAUGUAUAUCUAUCAUAUCUUCCCUUGGCACAUAUCUUUGAUCGGGUGAUCGAAGAGUGUUUUAUCAAUCAUGGGGCCUCAAUAGGAUUUUGGCGUGGGGUAAG